rnacentral:lncRNA from 1 species
UUGAUAAAUAUGAAAGGAACAUAUCUUUCCCUAGGCACAAUGCCCUAAGAUUUCGAAGCUAUAACAAAUGCUGGAGUUGAUCCCAAGUUUUCAGUACAACCACCACCAGACUUCACUUGCAAGUUAAUAUACACCUUCACUUAUAAAUAUAUUGCUCCAUAUCUACAACAGAACAUUCUUGUAAACAUGGGUGAAAAAUGGUCCUCUCUGAAUUCUAAUUCCUUGGCAUCUUCUGGGAAGAGUGUGGCAUCUCAUCAGUGCGGUUGGUUUCAUUCAUUAGGUUAAAUCUCACCAUCUUUCUGAGGGACCAUCACAAAGGUUCCACCAGCAUUUUGUUCGUAGAGAGCUACCACAACUUAAGCUGUUCAAA